UACGUAGGGCGCAAGCGCUGUCCGGAAUUAUUGGGCGUAAAGAGCUCGUAGGCGGUCUGUCGCGUCUGCCGUGAAAACUCGGGGCUUAACCCCGGGCCUGCAGUGGGUACGGGCAGACUAGAGUGCGGUAGGGGAGACUGGAAUUCCUGGUGUAGCGGUGGAAUGCGCAGAGUAUCAGGAGGAACACCAAUGGCGAAGGCAGAUCUCUGGGCCGUAACUGACGCUGGAGGAGCGAAAGCAUGGGGAGCGAA
rnacentral:rRNA from 1 species